rnacentral:snoRNA from 1 species
ACGCACGAUGCAACCCCAGGCUUCUCUGAAUAAUGUAUGAGGUGAAAGCCCCAUUGCUCGUCCAAAAUCAAUGUCUUUCGUGUUGCAGUUCAGUCUUUACUUAUUCCACGAUUGAAUCUAUCGAUUCAAAAUCUUCAAUU